GACAGAGGGUGCGAGCGUUGUUCGGAAUUACUGGGCGUAAAGAGCGCGCAGGCGGUCGUUCAAGUCGCGUGUGAAAGCCCCCGGCUCAACUGGGGAGGGUCACGCGAUACUGAUCGACUCGAAGGCAGGAGAGGGUAGUGGAAUUCCCGGUGUAGUGGUGAAAUGCGUAGAUAUCGGGAGGAACACCAGUGGCGAAGGCGACUACCUGGCCUGUUUCUUGACGCUGAGGCGCGAAAGCUAGGGGAGCAAACGGG
rnacentral:rRNA from 1 species